rnacentral:rRNA from 1 species
CAGGGAUAACCGCUGAAAGCAUCUAAGCGGGAAGCCCCCCCAGAGAUAAGAUCUGGUUGCGAAAGCGAAAGACCCCUGGAAGACUACCAGGUUGAUAGGCCGCGUGUGUAAGGACAGAGAUGUCUUCAGCAGAGCGGUACUAACGGUCGAACGUUUGAUCGCU